AAAUAAGAAACAAACUAUUGUAUUUAGUUUCGACCUAAAAUUUUGAUGAAACCAUCCUUAUUUU
rnacentral:tRNA from 2 species